GAGAAAGUUUGCAAGAACUGCUAAUUCAUGCUUCCAUGCAUAAUAGCAUGGCUUUCUUA
rnacentral:tRNA from 1 species